rnacentral:rRNA from 1 species
UGGGGAAUAUUGGACAAUGGGCGAAAGCCUGAUCCAGCCAUGCCGCGUGUGUGAAGAAGGUCUUCGGAUUGUAAAGCACUUUAAGUUGGGAGGAAGGGCAUUAACCUAAUACGUUAGUGUUUUGACGUUACCGACAGAAUAAGCACCGGCUAACUCUGUGCCAGCAGCCGCGGUAAUACAGAGGGGGCAAGCGUUAAUCGGAAUUACUGGGCGUAAAGCGCGCGUAGGUGGUUUGUUAAGUUGGAUGUGAAAUCCCCGGGCUCAACCUGGGAACUGCAUUCAAAACUGACUGACUAGAGUAUGGUAGAGGGUGGUGGAAUUUCCUGUGUAGCGGUGAAAUGCGUAGAUAUAGGAAGGAACACCAUUGGCGAAGGCGACCACCUGGACUAAUACUGACACUGAGGUGCGAAAGCGUGGGGAGCAAACA